rnacentral:rRNA from 1 species
GAAGCGAAACCGACGAGGUGGAGCAAAACUAUAAAAGACGAUCUCAUUCGGACUGCAGGCUGCAACUCGCCUGCACGAAGUUGGAAUUGCUAGUAAUCGUGGAUCAGCAUGCCACGGUGAAUACGUUCCCGGGUCUUGUACACACCGCCCGUCACACCAUGGGAGCCGGUAAUACCCGAAGUCAGUAGUCUAACCGCAAGGAGGACGCUGCCGAAGGUAGGAUUGGCGACUGGGGUGAAGUCGUAACAAGGUAUC